rnacentral:tRNA from 1 species
GCCAGGGUGGCAGAGUGGACGAAUGCGGUGGCCUCGAGAGCCACUGUCCCGAAAGGGACUCUCAGGUUCAAAUCCUGAUCCUGGCG